AAAGCGAGCGGCGGAUGGGUGAGUAACACGUGGGGAACCUGCCCCUAAGCCUGGGAUACCAUUUGGAAACAGGUGCUAAUACCGGAUAAUAAAGCAGAUCGCAUGAUCAGCUUUUGAAAGGCGGCGUAAGCUGUCGCUAAGGGAUGGCCCCGCGGUGCAUUAGCUAGUUGGUAAGGUAACGGCUUACCAAGGCGACGAUGCAUAGCCGAGUUGAGAGACUGAUCGGCCACAUUGGGACUGAGACACGGCCCAAACUCCUACGGGAGGCAGCAGUAGGGAAUCUUCCACAAUGGACGCAAGUCUGAUGGAGCAACGCCGCGUGAGUGAAGAAGGUUUUCGGAUCGUAAAGCUCUGUUGUUGGUGAAGAAGGAUAGAGGUAGUAACUGGCCUUUAUUUGACGGUAAUCAACCAGAAAGUCACGGCUAACUACGUGCCAGCAGCCGCGGUAAUACGUAGGUGGUAAGCGUUGUCCGGAUUUAUUGGGCGUAAAGCGAGCGCAGGCGGAAAAAUAAGUCUAAUGUGAAAGCCCUCGGCUUAACCGAGGAACUGCAUCGGAAACUGUUUUUCUUGAGUGCAGAAGAGGAGAGUGGAACUCCAUGUGUAGCGGUGGAAUGCGUAGAUAUAUGGAAGAACACCAGUGGCGAAGGCGGCUCUCUGGUCUGCAACUGACGCUGAGGCUCGAAAGCAUGGGUAGCGAACAGGAUUAGAUACCCUGGUAGUCCAUGCCGUAAACGAUGAGUGCUAAGUGUUGGGAGGUUUCCGCCUCUCAGUGCUGCAGCUAACGCAUUAAGCACUCCGCCUGGGGAGUACGACCGCAAGGUUGAAACUCAAAGGAAUUGACGGGGGCCCGCACAAGCGGUGGAGCAUGUGGUUUAAUUCG
rnacentral:rRNA from 1 species